CCAGAGUGCAACGCGAAGAAGCUGAGCUGAGCUGAGCAGAGCAAUGGCGAUCGCCUUCUGCUUCAACCUUCCUUCUCUCUUUCUCCGAUCUCCGAACUCGAUCCCUACCGUCCACUCGCUUCCUCCUCGUUGUCGCCGCCUCCCUUCCUCUCCAGCUCCGCUUCAAUAUAUCACCCGCUCCCGCCCUCCGCCUUCUCACACCCUUGUACGUCCCAAAAGACGCCGUUUUGGCCGGCGGAAACGAUGGAGACGACGAAAAUAGCAACAACAACAAGUACGGGAACAACCGAGGAAACAGCGGCGUAGAAGGUGGGGGAAGAGCGGGGGACAAGAACUGGGAGGAGGCGAUGGUGGUGCUGGCGGAGGCGGGGUGACUCUUGGAGAGCAUGCCAAAGGAUCUGAGGGCGGCCGUCGAGGCCGGGAGGAUCCCGGGAUCGGUGGUCGACAGGUUCUUGGAGCUCGAGAAGGCGGGGCUGUUUCGCUGGUUGAUGCAGUUCGGCGGCUUCAAGGAGCGCCUUUUAGCCGAAGACCCGUUCCUCGCCAUGGUCGGAAUCGAGUACUGCGUCGGAAUGUUCACCAUGAUUCUGUGCUCGUCUCUCUUCCUGCCCCUACUGUUUCUCUCUGACCACCACUUGCAACUAGUGCUGGAACAAUUGCCAAGUUCUUCCAUAACUGCCCUGAUAAUGCAUUCGAGGUUGCGCUUGCCGGAACCUCAUAUUCAUUUCUACCGAGAUUAGGGGCUGUGGUGGUGAGCAAAUGGCUUCCAUAUAUGCCUGCUUAAAUGGAUCCCCAAAAUUUGGGUUUGAAGUUAACAAUGAAAUCGCAUGUUUUACAUUUGCUGGUUUUGUUUGUGUAACGUAAUGGGACAAAGCUUUUUGCAGUUGGCACAGCUUCAUCACUUGUUAGUAGUUUGCAAUCAAUGUAUAUUUUUUUCCUGGUUUGUUCUUGAGAUCAAGAUGUUGAGGAUUUUUGCAUAUAGUGGCAUAUGUGGUUAAGGCUUUAGAUUUAGACAAGGUUGGUUGGGUUUAGGUGCAACCCAUGUCCAAACUCAAGGAAUGAAUGAUUACCCAUGAAAGGAUUGCCUGACCAUUCCUAACUUGAUUUCUAAGUGUUGGACCUAACCUCAAGCUAUGGUAAGAUAAUUCAUUUAUUAUGACUCGCGGAGUGGUUAUCUUCGUAGUUUCAGUGUGCUUAGUCAUGUUUCCCCAUUGUAGUUUUGCUCUUUAUGUUAUCUAUAGUUGCUAAAAUGAAAUGAUUUUCCAUCUGAGAUAUAACCCAAAGCUGCCCCCAAUCCUUGACUGAAAAUUUGACCAAUUGAGGUAUACUAAAAGAAAGGAUUAACUCUAGUUCUAGAAAUUUUCGAUAAGAUUCUACAUGAUCUCAAUAAAAUAGCCAGGGAAAUAAUGUAUAUGGAUUACUAAGGCAUGCACUUCCUUUUCAGAUUUGACUAAUAUUGAUCACUCAUUCUCUAACUUUUGUUGCAAAGGUUUUUUAUCAUCAUUUUUCUUAAGAAAAUGUUAUGCAAGUUGGAGCACCAUUAAUGCAAAAUGCUGGAAUUUAAUGUGUUUUGCUUAAUUAAAGUUGGGACAGCAGUUAUGAAUGCAUUGAUCAAUGCAAGGAAAGCUGUUGAUUAGUCUUCUCCGGUUGAAGUGGAAAAUGUGCCCAUACUAUCCACAAGCGCUGCUUAUGCUGUCUAUAUGGCAGUAUUUAGCAAUCUCUGCUGGUGUUAUUGAACAGCAGAUUCUGGAUACUUUGCUACACCAUUGCAAACUUAUGCUGAGUGCCAUUUGCUCUGCUGCUCGGACAGGGAACAAGCACACUCAUGUGCACGCAUAGAGAGACACACCAUUGCAAUUUGCAGCCAAUGAAUCACUUCGAAUAGAGGUUUUGGAGGAAAAGUACAUACUACAGUACAGGUUUCUUGUUCCGAAUCUGACGUGCAUUCUUUCGGCAUGAAUGAGGGGUAAAAUAUGGUUUAAAACAGGCUUGAGGGACAGACCUCAAUACAGGAUUCUCCAAUUGUAGCCUAGAUUGUAGUUACGAACAUUUUGCACAACACAAUGUGUUUUGCAUUCUAAUCCUACGUACGAUUCAAUUCUUUGCUGUGAUCUGGUUCAUCAAUUUUGGAAAUCAAAAUUCUUUAAUCAAAUGAAAUAAUAUAUAUAAACCUGAAUAAAGCAGUUUGUUGGCGACUUUUUCAUCCACUUCCAUAUAAUGGCUUCUGGCCACAUGCAUAUAUCCAAUCCUUGAUAAUGUUGCAUGUUCCUAGGUAUUAAAUUUUUUUAUAAAAAUGUUGAUGAACUUUAGAUGAUUGUGCAAAUUUAUCUUCCAAUUUUACCUCAAAGUCAAUUGGCCUCAAAGUUUCAACCACUCUUCUUCAACUAGAUCAUUAUUUGCUUAUCUUUGUCUAUUUUUUGUUGUAGUUGAAGUUGUCCUGUCAUGGAAAUCUGUUGACUGAUUAGACAUUGCAUUUGAUAGGUUAGCAGUCUAAAUUUUGUUGCUCGAGGUGAUUUUUUGUUAACUGCCUCAGCAGACAAGCGAACCUGAAUUGCAAAUAUUAAUCUGGGUGCAACCCAGAGGAAAUCAUUAGGUACUGGUUUAAGCUCUGAUGGCAUUUUAAGCUGCAAGUGAAGAUUUAAGCAUUAUUAUCAGAGAGCUAUAUUGGCAGAGUAUUCUGGUCCUGUUCUUGGAGUAUUGUCUGCAAUGUUAUAUGGAUGGAGAGGCCGUGUCUGGAAGAAGUUUUGCUAAGUGCAUUCGACAUGGAAAGAAGAAGAAGAUGGUUGAUAUCAGGAAUGUUAGUUCCAAGAAAAACAAGCACAUCAAGAAAAUUAAGGUAGGGGCUGGUUCCAUACUUUCUUUUCCAAAUAAAAGACGAUGAGCUCUUCGUCUGUUGGGAGGAAUCUGUACCCGGGAGGUUUGUUAAAAAAUCCAGCUUGUUCCUUAGUCUUCUUGUUGCUAUUGAAAUUGCCGCUCUCAACCUCCAUGGCACGAAGUAAUUGCAGCAGACUCUUCUCUCUGUUUUUAAUAGAGUGGUGGUAGCGCCAAUAGUGUAUAAUUCUUCUUUUUAAAUAUUUGAAUCAAUGGUCCACUUCUACCGAUUUUUGAGUCUUCAGACUUAUCCUUCGGUUUGGAUUGUUUUUCCUUUCUUUUUGGAUACUUCCAGGAUUUAUCUCAAGAAUAUAACUGAUCCAUACUUCAAAAAUUAUAUAAUGAUCAGUGACGACCUUGAGUAUGUGCCCAUUUAUAA